UGCCCCUGCCUACAGUCCACACCUUUCUAAAACUACAGUGCCCUCAGCCUGACAGAUGAUCCGUUUUAAAAACCACAAUUAGCAUACAAGUGACCCACUAUUGGAUCCAUUAUUACAUUGAACUUCUGGAAAAUUAGAAAUAAACUCACAUUCACUGAUUUCCAUCUCAAAGUGUGACGAGGGUCUUCUCUUGAUACGGCUGCUGUUGAUGACACUAUAGCUUCCUGCUGGAGGACCCAGGGGACCUACAACCAUUUAUUUCCUCCUCUUUGUUCCGCCUUCCUGGAGAUUAUGCAAUACAUUCCUGCUUAAGCUCAAAACUGUAGGUUUGUCUCUGGCUGAUCUGAAAUCCUUAAGUCGCUCUUAUCGUGGAGGGUGUCAUUAUUAAAGUAAUCAUUCUCUUAAUCCAA